GUGGAGCCUGUGGCUCAGAGGAUCAGCGCGUGUGGCUAUGAACCACGGUGUCAGGGUUUUCGAAUCCCUUGUCACCCACA
rnacentral:tRNA from 1 species